ACAACGGUGGCCAAGUAGUAAGGCAUCGAUCUUGUAAACCCAAGAUUGUGGGUUCGAGCCACUUUCGUUCUC
rnacentral:tRNA from 1 species